rnacentral:rRNA from 1 species
GCACGGGUGCGUAACGCGUAUAGAACCUACCUUUUACAGAGGGAUAGCCUUUAGAAAUGAAGAUUAAUACCUCAUAGUAUUGCGAUUUGGCAUCAGAUUGUAAUUAAAGAUUUAUCGGUAAAAGAUGGCUAUGCGUCCUAUUAGUUAGUUGGUAAGGUAACGGCUUACCAAGACAUCGAUAGGUAGGGGUCCUGAGAGGGAGAUCCCCCACACUGGUACUGAGACACGGACCAGACUCCUACGGGAGGCAGCAGUGAGGAAUAUUGGACAAUGGAGGAGACUCUGAUCCAGCCAUGCCGCGUGCAGGAAGACUGCCCUAUGGGUUGUAAACUGCUUUUAUACAGGAAGAAACACUAGUACGUGUACUAGCUUGACGGUACUGUAAGAAUAAGGACCGGCUAACUCCGUGCCAGCAGCCGCGGUAAUACGGAGGGUCCGAGCGUUAUCCGGAAUCAUUGGGUUUAAAGGGUCCGCAGGCGGUCGAUUAAGUCAGAGGUGAAAUCCCAUAGCUUAACUAUGGAACUGCCUUUGAUACUGGUUGACUUGAGUCAUAUGGAAGUAGAUAGAAUGUGUAGUGUAGCGGUGAAAUGCAUAGAUAUUACACAGAAUACCGAUUGCGAAGGCAGUCUACUACGUAUGUACUGACGCUCAUGGACGAAAGCGUGGGGAGCGAACAGGAUUAGAUACCCUGGUAGUCCACGCCGUAAACGAUGGACACUAGUUGUUGGGAUUUAUCUCAGUGACUAAGCGAAAGUGAUAAGUGUCCCACCUGGGGAGUACGAUCGCAAGAUUGAAACUCAAAGGAAUUGACGGGGGCCCGCACAAGCGGUGGAGCAUGUGGUUUAAUUCGAUGAUACGCGAGGAACCUUACCAGGGCUUAAAUGUAGUAUGACAGGUUUAGAGAUAGACUUUUCUUCGGACAUAUUACAAGGUGCUGCAUGGUUGUCGUCAGCUCGUGCCGUGAGGUGUCAGGUUAAGUCCUAUAACGAGCGCAACCCUUGUCGUUAGUUGCCAGCAUGUAAAGAUGGGGACUCUAACGAGACUGCCGGUGCAAACCGUGAGGAAGGUGGGGAUGACGUCAAAUCAUCACGGCCCUUACGUCCUGGGCCACACACGUGCUACAAUGGUAUGGACAAUGAGCAGCCAUCUGGCAACAGAGAGCGAAUCUACAAACCAUAUCACAGUUCGGAUCGGAGUCUG